CCUACGGGUGGCAAGCGGAAAGGGCGGGCCGGCCUGAGGCCUUGGACCCGAAGGCCGGCCUUGGAAGUGCCUGUUUCACUUUUCGGAGCGGAAAGUCCCCGUCAGGCGGGCUUCCUCCAGCACGUGGCUGCCGAUCGCCUUCACCAGCUCGUACCGCUCCGCGCCAGGGGCCAGGUCGAGGAGGGUGUCGAGGGCCAGGAUCCGGAAACUGUACCGGUGGAUCCCGGGGGGGGGGCAGGGGCCCCCGUACCCGAUCUUCCCGAAAUCGUGCAGGCCCUGCCGCGUACCGUCGGGAAGGGUCAUGGCCUGGGGGACGUUUGCGGGCAGGCGCGAGGCGGUGAAGGGGAUGUUCCAGGCGAUCCAGUGGACCCACCCGCGGGCACCCGUGUAGUC
rnacentral:rRNA from 1 species